AUUGAACGCUGGCGGCAUGCUUUACACAUGCAAGUCGAACGGCAGCGGGGGCUUCGGCCUGCCGGCGAGUGGCGAACGGGUGAGUAAUGCAUCGGAACGUGCCCAUGUCGUGGGGGAUAACGUAGCGAAAGCUACGCUAAUACCGCAUACGCCCUGAGGGGGAAAGCGGGGGAUUCUUCGGAACCUCGCGCGAUUGGAGCGGCCGAUGUCGGAUUAGCUAGUAGGUGAGGUAAAGGCUCACCUAGGCGACGAUCCGUAGCGGGUCUGAGAGGAUGAUCCGCCACACUGGGACUGAGACACGGCCCAGACUCCUACGGGAGGCAGCAGUGGGGAAUUUUGGACAAUGGGCGCAAGCCUGAUCCAGCCAUGCCGCGUGAGUGAAGAAGGCCUCGGUUGUAAGAC
rnacentral:rRNA from 1 species